GCUUUACACAUGCAAGUCGAACGGCAGCACGGGGCAACCUGGUGGCGAGUGGCGAACGGGUGAGUAAUAUAUCGGAACGUGCCCAAUCGUGGGGGAUAACGUAGCGAAAGUUACGCUAAUACCGCAUACGAUCUACGGAUGAAAGCGGGGGAUCGCAAGACCUCGCGCGANUGGAGCGGCCGAUAUCAGAUUAGGUAGUUGGUGGGGUAAAGGCUCACCAAGCCAACGAUCUGUAGCUGGUCUGAGAGGACGACCAGCCACACUGGAACUGAGACACGGUCCAGACUCCUACGGGAGGCAGCAGUGGGGAAUUUUGGACAAUGGGCGAAAGCCUGAUCCAGCCAUUCCGCGUGCAGGAUGAAGGCCUUCGGGUUGUAAACUGCCUUUGUACGGAACGAAACGGUCCUUUCUAAUACAAGGGGCUAAUGACGGUACCGUAAGAAUAAGCACCGGCUAACUACGUGCCAGCAGCCGCGGUAAUACGUAGGGUGCAAGCGUUAAUCGGAAUUACUGGGCGUAAAGCGUGCGCAGGCGGUUAUAUAAGACAGAUGUGAAAUCCCCGGGCUCAACCU
rnacentral:rRNA from 1 species